UCUUUCGUGGUGUAUUGGCUAGCACGCUUGGCGCGUAACCGAGAGGUCCGUGGUUCGAUUCCCGGCGAAGGCG
rnacentral:tRNA from 1 species